CCUCCGAUUUUGUCUCUCACGAAAGGCCAGAUCCUCGAUGAGUCGAAGCUUCUUUUAUUUCAUGAUUGCAGCAUCCAUCACAGCUUUCCAGAUCCUUUGCAUGUAUCAACAAGGUCGUGUGUUGUACUUCCGGUUUCUAGAUGGCCUAGCGGUUAAACUCCCGCGCUUACAAUCAAGAGAUUGCCGGUUCGAACCCAACUGGGAGCUUAUUUGUUUGUUUCUUUUUUUUUUAUCCCAAAACUGUUCAAUUCAGGUGACCUGCAGUUCUUCCAGUCUGCUGCACAUCUCAAGCAUCAUCCUGUAACCAUGGAUAUGGCCUUGUCCUCUCAUCUGGUCACCGAUGAAAUGGGCAACUGCCUGCAACAACCGCCUGCGCAGCUGCAGCCUGGCCAACUCAAAUGAUGAAGAUUAAAAACCCUCUGAAGCUCCCAGAAGUCUGUACUGGCAAAAUGAGCAGACGAAGGAGG